ACGAUAACGGCGUCGAGCGGCGGACGGGUGAGUAAUGCCUAGGAAAUUGCCCUGAUGUGGGGGAUAACCAUUGGAAACGAUGGCUAAUACCGCAUGAUGCCUACGGGCCAAAGAGGGGGACCUUCGGGCCUCUCGCGUCAGGAUAUGCCUAGGUGGGAUUAGCUAGUUGGUGAGGUAAGGGCUCACCAAGGCGACGAUCCCUAGCUGGUCUGAGAGGAUGAUCAGCCACACUGGAACUGAGACACGGUCCAGACUCCUACGGGAGGCAGCAGUGGGGAAUAUUGCACAAUGGGCGCAAGCCUGAUGCAGCCAUGCCGCGUGUGUGAAGAAGGCCUUCGGGUUGUAAAGCACUUUCAGUCGUGAGGAAGGUNGUGUAGUUAAUAGCUGCAUUAUUUGACGUUAGCGACAGAAGAAGCACCGGCUAACUCCGUGCCAGCAGCCGCGGUAAUACGGAGGGUGCGAGCGUUAAUCGGAAUUACUGGGCGUAAAGCGCAUGCAGGUGGUUUGUUAAGUCAGAUGUGAAAGCCCGGGGCUCAACCUCGGAAUUGCAUUUGAAACUGGCAGACUAGAGUACUGUAGAGGGGGGUAGAAUUUCAGGUGUAGCGGUGAAAUGCGUAGAGAUCUGAAGGAAUACCGGUGGCGAAGGCGGCCCCCUGGACAGAUACUGACACUCAGAUGCGAAAGCGUGGGGAGCAAACAGGAUUAGAUACCCUGGUAGUCCACGCCGUAAACGAUGUCUACUUGGAGGUUGUGGCCUUGAGCCGUGGCUUUCGGAGCUAACGCGUUAAGUAGACCGCCUGGGGAGUACGGUCGCAAGAUUAAAACUCAAAUGAAUUGACGGGGGCCCGCACAAGCGGUGGAGCAUGUGGUUUAAUUCGAUGCAACGCGAAGAACCUUACCUACUCUUGACAUCCAGAGAACUUUCCAGAGAUGGAUUGGUGCCUUCGGGAACUCUGAGACAGGUGCUGCAUGGCUGUCGUCAGCUCGUGUUGUGAAAUGUUGGGUUAAGUCCCGCAACGAGCGCAACCCUUAUCCUUGUUUGCCAGCGAGUAAUGUCGGGAACUCCAGGGAGACUGCCGGUGAUAAACCGGAGGAAGGUGGGGACGACGUCAAGUCAUCAUGGCCCUUACGAGUAGGGCUACACACGUGCUACAAUGGCGCAUACAGAGGGCGGCCAACUUGCGAAAGUGAGCGAAUCCCAAAAAGUGCGUCGUAGUCCGGAUUGGAGUCUGCAACUCGACUCCAUGAAGUCGGAAUCGCUAGUAAUCGUGGAU
rnacentral:rRNA from 1 species